UACGGAAGGGGCGAGCGUUGUUCGGAAUCAUUGGGCGUAAAGGGCUCGUAGGCGGCCAACUAAGUCCGACGUGAAAUCCCCAGGCUUAACCUGGGAACUGCGUCGGAUACUGGAUGGCUUGAAUUCGGGAGAGGGAUGCAGAAUUCCAGGUGUAGCGGUGAAAUGCGUAGAUAUCUGGAGGAAUACCGGUGGCGAAGGCGGCAUCCUGGACCGACAUUGACGCUGAUGAGCGAAAGCUAGGGGAGCAAACGGG
rnacentral:rRNA from 1 species